GUGGGGAAUAUUGGACAAUGGGGGGAACCCUGAUCCAGCCAUGCCGCGUGUGUGAAGAAGGCCUUUUGGUUGUAAAGCACUUUAAGCGAGGAGGAGGCUACCGAGAUUAAUACUCUUGGAUAGUGGACGUUACUCGCAGAAUAAGCACCGGCUAACUCUGUGCCAGCAGCCGCGGUAAUACAGAGGGUGCAAGCGUUAAUCGGAUUUACUGGGCGUAAAGCGCGCGUAGGUGGCCAAUUAAGUCAAAUGUGAAAUCCCCGAGCUUAACUUGGGAAUUGCAGUCGAGACUGGUUGGCUAGAGUAUGGGAGAGGAUGGUAGAAUUCCAGGUGUAGCGGUGAAAUGCGUAGAGAUCUGGAGGAAUACCGAUGGCGAAGGCAGCCAUCUGGCCUAAUACUGACACUGAGGUGCGAAAGCAUGGGGAGCAACCAGGAUUAGAUACCCGGGUAGUCC
rnacentral:rRNA from 1 species